rnacentral:rRNA from 1 species
UACGAAGGGGGCUAGCGUUGCUCGGAAUCACUGGGCGUAAAGGGUGCGUAGGCGGGUCUUUAAGUCAGGGGUGAAAUCCUGGAGCUCAACUCCAGAACUGCCUUCGAUACUGGCGAUCUUGAGUCCGGAAGAGGUGAGUGGAACUCCUAGUGUAGAGGUGGAAUUCGUAGAUAUUAGGAAGAACACCAGUGGCGAAGGCGGCUCACUGGUCCGGUACUGACGCUGAGGUGCGAAAGCGUGGGGAGCAAACAGG